UCCAGCGCACUCACCUAUCCACUAAACAGCAACUUCAAAGUUGAAAGAUUUCAUUUGUUUUUUUUAAAAACACCUAAUCUAGGCAAAAAUAAUUUUUUUUGCCUAGAUUAGGUGUUUUUAAAAAAAACAAAUGAAAUCUUUCAACUUUGAAGUUGCUGUUUAGUGGAUAGGUGAGUGCGCUGGA